ensembl:lncRNA
UCAAUUGAAAUGUUACUAAACAAGGUUAUACUUAUCAAAUUAAAUAGCUCUGGUCUCCAGUAUAUUGGCGAAUUCGGUUCUUUGUUUCCCAGAGACUAUGGGUUGAGGAGGAAUUGGAAGUUUGUCGGCUUAGACCUGGUGUCAUUCCAUCAGUGUUAAACUUCCCGGCUCAUCUUGGAAGAGUACGUGCCAGAAAGACCACGACCAAGCAGCCUUGAGAUCUUAGGCAGCGUCUCCCUGAGGUCCCUCUCUAUCUCCCCACACAUCCACCAACCACUGGAAGACAUCUCCAAAGUUCUGCCGGGCCAGCUCAGCUUCCCCUCAGAAGAAGUGCCACCAGAUGAAGGAGCCUUUUGAGAGGCAGCUGGCAUCGUGAUUGGACUGUACUUUGGUCUGUUCCAAUCCAGCUUCAGCUCCAGAGACGGCAGGCGGGACGAGUCAACGGAGGCCUGGUGGACGAAGGCAUGCAGCUGAGUACAAUCCAGAAAACAACAGAGGAGGAGUGCAGGGCCAGAACAAGCAGAGUAGCAUCGUAUGUCUCUUAGAAAACAUCAUAGUAUAGCCUUUGCUAUGAAAAAACGCCAUCAUAUACAUCGUAUAUUGUACAAAUAACAAGUCAAAGGAAAGAGACAUCAACUGUAGAAUUGUAGUAAUUGUGGG